rnacentral:snRNA from 1 species
UUCGUUUUCCUUCAUUCCUCGUA